rnacentral:rRNA from 1 species
UACGUAGGGGGCAAGCGUUGUCCGGAAUCAUUGGGCGUAAAGCGCGCGUAGGCGGUCCGGUAAGUCCGCUGUGAAAGUCAAAGGCUCAACCUUUGAAUGCCGGUGGAUACUGUCGGACUCGAGUCCGGAAGAGGCGAGUGGAAUUCCUGGUGUAGCGGUGGAAUGCGCAGAUAUCAGGAGGAACACCAAUAGCGAAGGCAGCUCGCUGGGACGGUACUGACGCUAAGGCGCGAAAGCGUGGGGAGCGAACAGGAUUAGAAACCCCCGUAGUCC